CCCAGUGCCCACCUCGGGUGUCCCAGCCCCGUGCCACGACUCCCAGUGCACAACCUGGGUUCCCCGAUCCCAUUCCCAGUGCUCUUAGUGCCAACCAAGAGAGCCACAACUCCACCCCCGUGCUCACCUGGCUGCUCCAGCCUUGUCCCAGUUUCCCUAAUGCCCACCCUGGAUGUCCCACUCUCACCCCACUGUCCCCACACCCUUUCUCCCCUGGCAGGUGCCAUACCCGAACUGCCACUGGACUGACCGGAGCCCCUGGAACUACAGCCGGUGGGUGCGGGGGCACCCCCUGCCCGGCCACCGCUUCUGCACCGCCCUCUGCACCAACAAUGGGCUCUGGAGGAGCGUGCGCUGUGAGAGGCAGCUGCCCUUCAUCUGCGAGAUAUGAGGGGCUCAGCCCCCCCGAGUCCUCCCCUACUGCUGUUCCCCCCUCCCUCAGAGUACAAUAAAGUCUUGCUGUCAGCACACA